AUUGAACGCUGGCGGCAGGCUUAACACAUGCAAGUCGAACGAGUGGCGGACGGGUGAGUAAUGCUUGGGAAUCUAGCUUAUGGAGGGGGAUAACUACGGGAAACUGUAGCUAAUACCGCGUACCAUAGGAUGAGCCCAAGUGGGAUUAGGUAGUUGGGGAGGUAAAGGCCCACCAGGCCGACGAUCGCUAGCUGGUCUGAGAGGAGGACCAGCCACACUGGUUAUGAGACACGGCCCAGACUCCGACGGGAGGCAGCAGUGGGAAAGAUUGCGCAAGGGGGGAAACCGGAGGCAGCCAUGCCGCGUGAAUGAAGAAGGCCUUCGGGUGUGAAAGUUCUUUCGGUGGCGAGGCGUUAACUACAGAAGAAGCACCGGCUAACUCCGUGCCAGCAGCCGCGGUAAUAC
rnacentral:rRNA from 1 species